CAGGCAGGUGGGAGGGUUUGGAGCCUGCCUCACACCAUCUAGUGACUUGGCUGCUUCUUCCAAUGUGAGCCAGGAGAGGGAUCAGGGCUUGGAGGACCAGUCCCUUCCCACCUGUCCAGGAAGAACCUCCUGCCUCUGCCAUAGCAGAAAGCAGCUGCCUCUAAGAUGAGAAUAAGCAGCCUUAGAUCUGGAGACGUUCCGGGACCUGUGGUCCAGGCAAGAAGAUUCAGAGCUGAGCCGCUAGGCAGAUUGGAUGCCAGGAGACACUCGAUGUACCACAUCCCCCAAACAGCUGCACAGCUGGGACUUCAUGCAAUUUACAUGAGGACAUAACUCUACACAGCUUUCUGGGCUUAAGUGGGUUGUUUACAAGCAAACUGCUGUGACCCUUCCUCUGAGACCAUAAACCGGGGAGUUCUCAUGGCUCCCCAAAGCCUUGGGAGCGGCUGGGACAUGUUUCAGGGAACAAGCCUGCACCUGAGCUCUUGGGUUUUUUAAAAAAUUACUUGUUCAUGCUACAGUCAGAUCCCUUUUUCCCAUAAAACGAGAAUCAAAAGUACACAUUCCAUUAAACAUUAAAGAAAAUGUAUGAAACCAUUAGGAA